GUGGCUCAGUGGAAAGAGCCUGGGCUUCAAAGUCAGAGGUCAUGGGUUAGAAUCCCCUC
rnacentral:tRNA from 1 species